GAACCUCAACCUGACUGGCAGACACAUGAUAUGAUUACUUGGUGGCAAGGCGAUGGUUAAAAAAGUAUGUCCUGUGACACAUCCGAUCUCCAUUCAGAAGAGGAGGCAAUUCCUAAAAGGAGAAAGCCAAUGCCUGUGACAGCGAACAAGCCAGGGGUACACACCAACCUGGCGAGGGGCGAGGUGUGGUUC